rnacentral:rRNA from 1 species
AGAGUUUGAUCCUGGCUCAGAGCGAACGCUGGCGGCAUGCUUAACACAUGCAAGUCUCACGGGCAGCAAUGUCAGUGGCGGACGGGUGAGUAGACGCGUAGGAAUCUAUCCUUAGGUGGGGGAUAACUGUGGGAAACUACAGCUAAUACCGCAUGAUACCUGUGGGUCAAAGGCGCAAGUCGCCUGAGGAGGAGCCUGCGUACGGAUUAGCUAGUUGGUGGGGUAACUGCCUACCAAGGCUACGGAUCGUUAGCUGGUCUGAGGGAUGAUCAGCCACAUGGGGACUGAGACACGGCCCAAACUCCUACGGGAGGCAGCAGUGGGGAAUAUUGGACAAUGGGCGAAAGCCUGAUCCAGCAAUGCCGCGUGUGUGAAGAAGGUCUUCGGAUUGUAAAGCACUUUCGACGGGGACGAUGAUGACGGUACCCGUAAGAAGAA